rnacentral:rRNA from 1 species
GACGGAGGAUGCAAGUGUUAUCCGGAAUCACUGGGCGUAAAGCGUCUGUAGGUGGUCAAAUAAGUCAACUGUUAAAUCUUGAGGCUCAACCUCAAAAUCGCAGUCGAAACUAUUCGACUAGAGUAUAGUAGGGGUAAAGGGAAUUUCCAGUGGAGCGGUGAAAUGCGUAGAGAUUGGAAAGAACACCGAUGGCGAAGGCACUUUACUGGGCUAUUGCUAACACUGAGAGACGAAAGCUAGGGUAGCAAAUGGG